rnacentral:tRNA from 1 species
AGUUGUAUGGUCUAAUGGUUAUGAUAUCUCGCUCACAAUCAUAUUGUUGUUCGUCAAGUUCAUGUGACUUGAACCGAGAUGGUUCUGGGUUCGAUCCCCAGUACAACUA